GGAAAAAAGUCGUAACAAGGUUUUCGUAGGUGAACCUGCGGAAGGAUCACUCAUAAUAAGUGUUUUAUGGCACUUUUUUAAAUCCAUAUCCACCUUGUGUGCAAUGUCAGGGUUGAUUUUUCUCUCGAGAGGAUCAACCCCAAACAUCAACUAUAUCUCAACUCUUUGUCUGAAAAAUAUUAUGAAUAAAACAAUUCAAAAUACAACUUUCAACAACGGAUCUCUUGGCUCUC
rnacentral:misc_RNA from 1 species